AACGCACAUUGCGCCCUCUGGUAUUCCGGGGGGCAUGCCUGUUCGAGCGUCAUUUCAAACCCUCAAGCUCCGGCUUGGUGUUGGGCGCCGUCCGCCUGAGGACGCGCCUGAAACUCGUAGGCGGUCGCGCGCGGCUCCUCAGCGUAGUCAAAUUCUCGCUCUGGACGCCUGCGUGCGGCCCCGCCUGGGAACCACUCAUCUCAAAGGUUUGACCUCGGAUCAGGUAGGGAUACCCGCUGAACUUAA
rnacentral:misc_RNA from 1 species